AACGCAGCGUGAGCCCUGCCAUGUUGGAACUGUUCUUCGAGCCUCAGCCUUUUCGAUUAAAGCCGCUUCAUGAAUAACGAAGGAUAAAUAAAGUCAAUGUCGCCCUUUUCUCAGAGAAAUGCAUUCUGGUUAUAAUGCUCAAAAUCCUUGACUUGAAAAAGAUGAGGCUUGGCUUCUCUGUGUUGGCAAGGCGCCCUGGGAGAACUGGCUUUCCAGCAUGCAUGCAACGGAAUGCAAUAUGGACAGUGACAUUAAUCAGACUGGGUCCUUUCCUCGUCUCUGCAAAGAACAGCUUUGCCAUAAGGUGAAGAGACAGGGCUGUUUUAUCCUGGCUGGAUUCCUCUCCCUCUGUUGUUGGGGAACAAGGGGCUCUGAACUUGGAACAUUUAUAAUAAUGUUUAGUAACAAGUAAAGCACCCUGGUCAGAUUUCUGGAGGGAAAAGCAGUAGGAGGUUGGAAUUCACCAUUUGAUUUUCGUUUAGGAAAUGAAGCUUUUUCUUUUUCUCUUGCUCUGGCGUCUCUCCUGAGUUUUAUGUCAGGAAACGUAAAGCUGCUGAUAGCCUGUUGCUGAAAUCAAGUUCAGGCUUUUUUCCUCUCUCUUCCUCUCUCUGGUUUCCCUCCCUGAAACUUGGGUUCAUGACAGCUUGUUGUUGGGCAGGGCAUUAGCCUUUUGUAAUUUAUUGCUUUUAGAUUAAAUCUGGGGAAACUCAAUAUUGCAGUUGAAUGAUUAGAGCAAUACCCCUUGGAGUCAUAAAUUUUCUUUGGUGCUGUGCAUCUCCAGAUCAUGUUUCCCUUCUAAUUACAUUUACAUAAAUGAUAUUCUGUAAAAUUAAAUUAACAUUCAAACGGUUACACUGGCAGAGAGAGACAAAAAUUAGUUACCAAGUUGCAGCUCCUAAAAAAAAAUCUAGUUCUUUCAUAAUAUGAAUCACUACCCUCUCUCAAGUGUCAGCAAUCAACAAAACCUCGGCUCCAACACUGCGCAGGGAUGUUUGCCACCAGCUAAUGGAGAAGUUUUGUUUCUUUCUUGGAGAUUUAGACUGUAAGCCUCAUUGGAAAGUGACUAUGGUGACUUGGCCACUAAGGAAUUGCUAAUAUAGCUUCAAGCUUCUUGCCUCGAAAUUCUGCAGUGAUCAUGGGCAAGGUCCAGAUUGAAUAUGUACACAGAACUUCAUUCUGGUCUGUGCCUUCCUCACCACCUGCCUCAUACUUCUGUGAGCCUUGGUUUUCCAGUCUAGAAGUUAACAGAGGGAUGGUCACAGGUGACAUCCAGAAUCUCCCUGCUUUUUUAUAAUGUAUUGGACCACUUCAGUAAGUUUCCAUCUUUAAGAGUUUGGUUGCAUUAUUUGGAGGGCUUGAAUCUGAAUCAUUAGAAGAUCUCUCACUUUCAUGUCCUGGCUAAGAAAAUGUGUCACUUCCUCGUUGACUAUGUUUACAUGAAUGAUGCUACAACGACGUCAAGAACCAUUUCCAUUUUAUCUUUCAGUAAAAUCAAUCCGUUCCAUUUGUGAGCAUGGUUAGACCUAAAAUGAGAGUUAAAUGUGUAAUAAAAGAUACUGUCCCUGGAGAGGAUGCUUAACCAAAACAUUACCCCUAGUAUCCCUGAGCAGUGUGAUUGUUUUCCUAUUUAUUAUUGUUUGAAUUUCUUAAGAGUCAACAUGUAUCAUUUUUACACAAAGUAGUAAACUGCUCCCAAAGACAUGUCUUUUCUGGUUUGGGGGGCUCAGGUGAAGAAAGAGGUAAAUGGAAUGUUAGCAGCUUUUGUCUUGACAGCCUUUAUUCACCCAGUUAAGCACCAGGAUCCAUGACUCAUCACCUGACUUUAGCAACACCUUGGACACAAUCAUACCCAGGAUCAUAAUACGUGUAUUGACAUUUCUGAUAAAACCUCUCUGAGAGGCGUCCACUCUCAAAAUAAUCUUUCAGGCUUAUGCUUAUGAAGAAGAUGAUGAUGGUACAAGAGGAAAACCAGUACCUCUUUUAAAAGAAGCCUGUGGUUUGCCCAUCCUUUUCUGGAUAUGUUUGUAUUUGCCUUCCGCUCUGCUUGACAGGAGCUUUCACAGCUAGAAUUCACUUGUGCUUCAACUAUGCAUUUAACACAUGUGAACUGAGCACCUACAAUGUGCCAGGCUACUUGGAUUGUCACUGGACAUAGAAUGGGAAGGAAAAAACCAAUGGAACUCUUGUUCUCAUAGAGAUGACAGUCUGCUUGGAAAGAUAGCUCUUACUCAAUAUCGUAUUGAUAAAUGUUUAAUUAUAAACUGCGAUUGGUGAGCUAAAGAAGAAAUACAGCCCUGGGAGAACAUGAAUUAAAAGAAUUUACCCUUGACGAAAGAGGAGAACUGAAGAUGGAUGAUUUAAAGGGAAGUGAGCUGAGAUGAGCAGAGAUGUCAAAGAUGCAGGAGUGGGGAGGUGAUGAUGCCAGCCUGAAGGAACACAGGAGCCAGUGCCCUGCACCAAGAAUGUAUGGUCAGGCCAUUCCAAAUGGCUGUUCUCUUGCUCUCCAUUCAUCCCCUGCUUCACCAGGGUCUGCUUCACAUGUAACUAUCCAAUCCUCAUAAUUAUGAGGCUUAAUUUGUCCCUGGUAAUUUAGCCCACCUGACAUCCAUUCCCCCUAUAAAUGACACCCUCCUUCUCCCUGGAGUAGUGAUGACUGCUGCCAUGUCUGUCCUCUGUUUGCUGUACUUGUUAACAUGUUGCUCCAGGACAUCUUGUAUAAGAUCCUCCUGUUGAAUAAACCAUUCACUUCUCUA
rnacentral:lncRNA from 1 species